UUUGGUGUUGGAGACCAGGAAGUGACACGCAGGAAAGGAGGAAGUUAACAACGGAAACCGGGAAGUUGAGAAGGACUGACAUGAAACAAACGAUUUGAUGACCAGUAGGUGACGACGGGAACCUCAAAACCAUGACGUAGACUAGGACCUACUGACCAGGGACCAGAAAGGUGGACGACGAAAGCGAGUGAUGAGUUCUGAAAGGAAAGUUUGACCUCGGGGUGAAAUUCGCAGUUUGCCGUCCGUCGGGGGUUCAACUUCCGCGAGAGCGACUCUCCCCCCUCUCGUCGCUCGGCUUUGUUGCCGCGAGAAUCCCCCGAAAGCGCCGCAGUCACCUUCAACUGGGAAUGACGAACAACUUGAAGCAAGCACGCGGUGCCUCGUUUUUGGGACAACUGAUUGAGAACGGGCGGGAGGAUGAAAGAAGUACGGCGAUGAGGAAGACGGACACGUACGGAGGGAUGCGGAAAAGAUUCAGGGGGACGAAUGUCGGGGAAACGGAGGUUACGUGUAAUAAGGAUGGAGGGAGUUGGCGACAAGGACGUAUGGAGGACGUAGGACACAUGGAAGAGUGGAGGCCGGAAGGACACACGCAAAUUGUAGACGUGCACCGAGCGUGGAAGGUGUGGAGAAACGAUUUAUCCAUCUCUCCAUUUUCUUAGCAGCUUAUCCUCACAAGGGACGCGGGGAGUGCUGAAGCUUAUCCCAGCUGUCAACGGGCAGGAGGCAGGCGGGGUACACCCUGAACUGGUCGCCAGCC